AAAACAAAAAUCUGAGAAACUUGUUCAAAGCCACUGGGCUUAUAAACAGCUCCAGAGCCCCUGUAGUUGAAGCUCCCAAGCAUCUUUCUCAACAGGGUGACAAUCUACUAUUUCAGAAGGUUCCUGCAUAGCUGAGUUGAAAUAGAGUUUAAAAAAAAAUCACAGCCUUAAUAGAAUAUCACUUUUAGAGGAAAGCAUUUAAUCAAAAUGAGAAGAAUUUUUAUAUGUGAAUAUAAAUAUGUGAACAUCUAUGAGGCCUUAAAUUUUAAGAGAAACAUUCCAAGGCAAUGUAACCUACUGACCUAUAGAGUAUUCUAUUUUGGUCUGAUUAUAAAAGUAAAGAAGUAAUAAAAGGUGCCCUCCUUUUCCAACACCAUGGCAGGUGUGCAGAGAAACCCUUCCCAGUACAGAAUAUCUGACAAGGCUGGAUAAAAAUUUAAAAACAAUUUUAAGACUUAACCAGGCUGGAUGGCCAGAAAGAGUAAUAAGCUGAGACUAGAAACAAUAAGAAAGAAGGGCUUCACUGGUAAGCAAGCACGGUAGCUGGCAAUUGCUCUGAGGUCAUCUGCCAGUAACUGGUGGGCAGGAGCUUGGGAUAUUGGGUAAGACAUGCAAGAGAGAUAGAAGACAAAACCAAAUAGAAUAGGAAAUGACAACAUAUUAGAAAUCUUGGAGGGGAGUAUUUUCACACUAGGUACUUUCUUUCUUUAGGAGUUGACUCAGAAUGGAGCAAGUCUCUUCUGUGCAUUCCUGAUCCCAAGCCUGCACCUCCACAGAUUUGGAUUAGAAAUUCAUACAAACUCAGUGGGUUAAAAAUCAAUA